UCACUCUCAGGGUUACAGACACACACACAGACAGACAGGUACCUUCAGUUGUCUCACUCUCUGGGUUACAGACACACACACACAGACAGACAGACAGGUACCUUCAGUUGUCUCACUCUCGGGGUUACAGACACACACACAGACAGACAGGUACCUUCAGUUGUCUCACUCUCGGGGUUACAGACACACACACAGACAGACAGGUACCUUCAGUUGUCUCACUCUCGGGGUUACA